rnacentral:rRNA from 1 species
UGCCAAAGGCCGAUUUAAAGGUUGGGGUUAAACGCCCAGGGGUUUUUCCCCAGUCCAGGACGGUUUGUAAAAACGACGGGCCAAGUGAAAUUUGUGGCGGGCCCAUUUUAGGGUGACCACUUAUAGAAAUACAGCGGGCCCGCGAGCUUCGGGGCUAGAGUUUGAUCCUGGCUCAGAUUGAACGCUGGCGGCAGGCUUAACACAUGCAAGUCGAGCGGGGGAGAUUGCUUCGGUAAUUGACCUAGCGGCGGACGGGUGAGUAAUACUUAGGAAUCUGCCUAUUAAUGGGGGACAACAUCUCGAAAGGGAUGCUAAUACCGCAUACGCCCUACGGGGGAAAGCAGGGGAUCACUUGUGACCUUGCGUUAAUAGAUGAGCCUAAGUCGGAUUAGCUAGUUGGUGGGGUAAAGGCCUACCAAGGCGACGAUCUGUAGCGGGUCUGAGAGGAUGAUCCGCCACACUGGGACUGAGACACGGCCCAGACUCCUACGGGAGGCAGCAGUGGGGAAUAUUGGACAAUGGGGGGAACCCUGAUCCAGCCAUGCCGCGUGUGUGAAGAAGGCCUUAUGGUUGUAAAGCACUUUAAGCGAGGAGGAGGCUCUUUUGGUUAAUACCCAAGAUGAGUGGACGUUACUCGCAGAAUAAGCACCGGCUAACUCUGUGCCAGCAGCCGCGGUAAUACAGAGGGUGCGAGCGUUAAUCGGAUUUACUGGGGGUAAAGCGUGCGUAGGCGGCUUUUUAAGUCCGGAUGUGAAAUCCCCGAGCUUAACUUGGGAAUUGCAUUCGAUACUGGGGAGCUAGAGUAUGGGAGAUGGAAGGGAGAAUUCCAGGUGUAGCGGUGAAAUGCGUAGAAUCAGCGAAUUCUGGAUCGCGACAAAAUAUCGGGGAUUUACCUUUAUUGGCCAC